rnacentral:rRNA from 1 species
GACGAACCGUGCGAACGUUAUUCGGAAUCACUGGGCUUAAAGCGCGUGUAGGCGGGAGGCACGUCCGUUGCUGAAAUCCCCCGGCUCAACCGGGGAACGGGCGCGGAUACGACUCUCCUUGAGGGGCGUAGGGGGACCUGGAACUUCCGGUGGAGCGGUGAAAUGCGUUGAGAUCGGAAGGAACGCCCGUGGCGAAAGCGAGGUCCUGGACGCCUACUGACGCUGAGACGCGAAAGC